rnacentral:rRNA from 1 species
GGUGAACGCUGGCGGCGUGCCUAACACAUGCAAGUCGAGCGGGUACCCGCAAGGGCACCAGCGGCGCACGGGUGAGUAACACGUGGGUAAUCUACCCCUCGGAGGGGGAUAACCGGGGGAAACUCCGGCUAAUACCCCAUACGAUCCAACAACACAAGUUGUUGGAUGAAAGGAGCGUUUGCUCCGCCGAGGGAUGAGCCCGCGGCCCAUCAGGUAGUUGGUGGGGUAAUGGCCCACCAAGCCUACGACGGGUAGCCGGCCUGAGAGGGUGGUCGGCCACAAGGGCACUGAGACACGGGCCCUACUCCUACGGGAGGCAGCAGUGGGGAAUCUUGGACAAUGGGCGAAAGCCUGAUCCAGCGACGCCGCGUGGGGGAUGAAGCCCUUCGGGGUGUAAACCCCUGUUGCGAGGGAGGAAUAAGGCCUGGAGGAAAUGCCAGGCCGAUGACUGUACCUCGCGAGGAAGCCCCGGCUAACUACGUACCAGCAGCCGCGGUAAUACGUAGGGGGCGAGCGUUACCCGGAUUCACUGGGCGUAAAGCGGGUGUAGGCGGCUCGGUAAGUCGGGUGUGAAAUCCCACAGCUCAACUGUGGAAUUGCGCCCGAAACUGCUGAGCUUGGGGCCGGUAGAGGGAGACGGAACUGCCGGUGUAGGGGUGAAAUCCGUAGAUAUCGGCAGGAACGCCGGUGGGGAAGCCGGUCUCCUGGGCCGCGCCCGACGCUGAGACCCGAAAGCUAGGGGAGCAAACC